AUACGUAGGUGGCAAGCGUUGUCCGGAAUUAUUGGGCGUAAAGCGCGCGCAGGUGGUUCCUUAAGUCUGAUGUGAAAGCCCCCGGCUCAACCGGGGAGGGUCAUUGGAAACUGGGGAACUUGAGUGCAGAAGAGGAUAGUGGAAUUCCAAGUGUAGCGGUGAAAUGCGUAGAGAUUUGGAGGAACACCAGUGGCGAAGGCGACUGUCUGGUCUGUAACUGACACUGAGGCGCGAAAGCGUGGGGAGCAAACAGGAUUAGGUACCCUGGUAGUCCACGCCGUAAACGAUGAGUGCUAAGUGUUGGGGGGUUUCCGCCCCUCAGUGCUGCAGCUAACGCAUUAAGCACUCCGCCUGGGGAGUACGGUCGCAAGACUGAAACUCAAAGGAAUUGACGGGG
rnacentral:rRNA from 1 species